GGAGGAGCCGUCCCCCCAGCUCCCAGCCGACCGUUUCUCCCCCGAGUUUGUGGACUUCACUGCUCAGUGCCUGAGGAAGAACCCCGCAGAGCGUAUGAGCUACCUGGAGCUGAUGGUGACACCCCUUCUUCACCUUGCACAAAACCAAGAAGACGGACAUUGCUGCCUUCGUGAAGGAGAUCCUGGGAGAAGACUCAUAGGGGCUGGGCCUCGGACCCCACUCCGGCCCUCCAGAGCCCCACAGCCCCAUCUGCGGGGGCAGUGCUCACCCACACCAUAAGCUACUGCCAUCCUGGCCCAGGGCAUCUGGGAGGAACCGAGGGGGCUGCUCCCACCUGGCUCUGUGGCGAGCCAUUUGUCCCAAGUGCCAAAGAAGCAGACCAUUGGGGCUCCCAGCCAGGCCCUUGUCGGCCCCACCAGUGCCUCUCCCUGCUGCUCCUAGGACCCGUCUCCAGCUGCUGAGAUCCUGGACUGAGGGGGCCUGGAUGCCCCCUGUGGAUGCUGCUGCCCCUGCACAGCAGGCUGCCAGUGCCUGGGUGGAUGGGCCACCGCCUUGCCCAGCCUGGAUGCCAUCCAAGUUGUAUAUUUUUUUAAUCUCUCGACUGAAUGGACUUUGCACACUUUGGCCCAGGGUGGCCACACCUCUAUCCCGGCUUUGGUGCGGGGUACACAAGAGGGGAUGAGUUGUGUGAAUACCCCAAGACUCCCAUGAGGGAGAUGCCAUGAGCCGCCCAAGGCCUUCCCCUGGCACUGGCAAACAGGGCCUCUGCGGAGCACACUGGCUCACCCAGUCCUGCCCGCCACCGUUAUCGGUGUCAUUCACCUUUCGUGUUUUUUUUAAUUUAUCCUCUGUUGAUUUUUUCUUUUGCUUUAUGGGUUUGGCUUGUUUUUCUUGCAUGGUUUGGAGCUGAUCGCUUCUCCCCCACCCCCUAGGGUACCAGCAGGCAGAGCCUUGCCCUCUGCUCAGGCUGGGGUCCAGUGGGAGGGGCCCAAGAUCUCUGCUCAGAGAAGUGCAGGGGGAGCCUUCCAGCUCACUCUCCCUGAGGACUGGCUUGACAGGGGCUAUGGGUUUGCUUUGGUGUUGUUUUUAAAAAAAGAAAAUAUAUUUUUU
rnacentral:lncRNA from 1 species